AUUGAACGCUGGCGGCAGGCUUAACACAUGCAAGUCGAACGAGUGGCGGACGGGUGAGUAAUGCCUGGGAAUCUACCUUAUGGAGGGGGAUAACUACUGGAAACUGUAGCUAAUACCGCGUACCAUCGGAUGAGCCCAAGUGGGGUUAGCUAGUUGGUGGGGUAAAGGCUCACCAAGCCGACGAUCCCUAGCUGGUCUGAGAGGAUGACCAGGCACACUGGGAAUGAGACAAGGACCAGACUACCAAGGGGGGCAGCAGUGGGGAAUAUUGGGCAAUGGGGGAAAACUGACGGAGGCAUGCCGGGUGAAUGAAGAAGGCCUUCGGGUUGUAAAGUUAUUUCGGUAGGGAGGAGUUAACUGCAGAAGAAGCACCGGGUAAAUCCGUGCCAGCAGCCGCGGUAAUUC
rnacentral:rRNA from 1 species